rnacentral:rRNA from 1 species
GUGAGGAAUUUUCCGCAAUGGUCGCAAGACUGACGGAGCAACGCCGCGUGCAGGAGGACGCUUUUCGGAGUGUAAACUGCUUUUCUGUGGGACGAGGAUGGACGGUACCACAGGAAGAAGCCCCGGCUAACUACGUGCCAGCAGCCGCGGUAAUACGUAGGGGGCGAGCGUUGUCCGGAGUUACUGGGCGUAAAGGGCCUGCAGGCGGUGCUGCGCGUUUCGCGUGACAGCGCAGGGCUUCACUCUGCGAGGGUGCGAAAGACGGCAGCACUUGAGGGCCAGAGAGGGACACGGAAUUCCGGGUGGAGUGGUGAAAUGCGUAGAGAUCCGGAGGAACACCGAAGGCGAAGGCAGUGUCCUGGCUGGUGCCUGACGCUGAGAGGCGAAAGCCAGGGGAGCGAACGGGAUUAGAAACCCUAGUAGUCC